rnacentral:rRNA from 1 species
GACGAACGCUGGCGGCAUGCCUAAGUACAUGCAAGUCGAACGCUUUAAUUUCACCGGGUGCUUGCACCCAUCGAAGUUAAGGAGUGGCGGACGGGUGAGUAACACGUGGGUAACCUGCCCAUAAGAGGGGGGAUAACAUUCGGAAACGGAUGCUAAUACCGCAUAUUUCUAAUCGUCUCCUGACGAAUGGAAGAAAGGUGGCUUCGGCUACCGCUUAUGGAUGGACCCGCGGCGUAUUAGCUAGUUGGUGGGGUAAUGGUCUACCAAGACGAUGAUACGUAGCCGACCUGAGAGGGUGAUCGGCCACAUUGGGACUGAGACACGGCCCAA